rnacentral:rRNA from 1 species
AUGGGAAAGGAAAGAGCGAAAUCUUGGAGAUCAAUUUUGGCCCUGGUUUGGUGGAACCUCUGGAAAGAAAGAAAUGAUAGAACAUUCAGAAAUAUUUCUUCUCACCCCACACAACUGUUUCUGAAGAUUCAGGUCGAAGCAAAGGACUGGGUUGACGCUGGGCGUAAGCGUGCAAUGGCUCUUGUAGAGCGCCCCCUAAAACCAGACUGA